UACGUAGGGUGCAAGCGUUGUCCGGAAUUUAUUGGGCGUAAAGAGCUCGUAGGCGGUCUGUCGCGUCUGCUGUGAAAACUCGGGGCUUAACCCCGGGCCUGCAGUGGGUACGGGCAGACUAGAGUGCGGUAGGGGAGACUGGAAUUCCUGGUGUAGCGGUGAAAUGCGCAGAUAUCAGGAGGAACACCGGUGGCGAAGGCGGGUCUCUGGGCCGUAACUGACGCUGAGGAGCGAAAGCAUGGGGAGCGAACAGG
rnacentral:rRNA from 1 species